GACGAACGCUGGCGGCGUGCUUAGCACAUGCAAGUCGAACGGAAAGGCCCUGCUUUUGUGGGGUGCUCGAGUGGCGAACGGGUGAGUAACACGUGAGUAACCUGCCCUUGACUUUGGGAUAACUUCAGGAAACUGGGGCUAAUACCGGAUAGGAGCUCCUGCUGCAUGGUGGGGGUUGGAAAGUUUCGGCGGUUGGGGAUGGACUCGCGGCUUAUCAGCUUGUUGGUGGGGUAGUGGCUUACCAAGGCUUUGACGGGUAGCCGGCCUGAGAGGGUGACCGGCCACAUUGGGACUGAGAUACGGCCCAGACUCCUACGGGAGGCAGCAGUGGGGAAUAUUGCACAAUGGGCGGAAGCCUGAUGCAGCAACGCCGCGUGCGGGAUGACGGCCUUCGGGUUGUAAACCGCUUUCGCCUGUGACGAAGCGUGAGUGACGGUAAUGGGUGAAGAAGCACCGGCUAACUACGUG
rnacentral:rRNA from 1 species